AGAGAAAGGAUGGGAGAACAUGACAAAGAACAGUAGAAGGAAGGGGACUGGGUUAAAGAGAAACUCAGAAGAAGUUUAUUCAAAUGCACCAGACACCAAGGACCAGACCCGGCUGAAGGAACAGCUUGGAGCAGGUGAAUGCAAGAGCCGAGAGGGAAGGACCAGACACAAGACACCAUCCAGCUUGCUUUCAGGAGAGAAGGGACAAAGAGGAAUCACAUGUCAGUCUGGCUUGACCUUCUCUGACAACCUGUCUCUCACAGACUUUAUUUAUACAUAAAAUCAUUUCCUUAGAAACUUUCUUCAUUGAUUACACAGCUUUUCAAAAUACA